rnacentral:tRNA from 1 species
GCGGGUGUAGCUCAAUGGUAGAGCAGCAGCUUCCCAAGCUGAUGACGGGGUUUCGAUUACCCUCACCCGCUCCA